UACGGGGGGGGCAAGCGUUGUUCGGAAUUACUGGGCGUAAAACGUGUGUAGGCGGUCUGCUAAGUCGGGUGUGAAAGCCCUGGGCUCAACCCAGGAAGUGCACUCGAAACUGGCAGGCUAGAGUACUGGAGAGGUUGGUGGAAUUCUCGGUGUAGAGGUGAAAUUCGUAGAUAUCAAGAGGAACACCGGUGGCGAAGGCGGCCAACUGGACAGAUACUGACGCUGAGACACGAAAGCGUGGGGAGCAAACAGG
rnacentral:rRNA from 1 species